rnacentral:lncRNA from 1 species
CUACGAUCGCCAAUUUGGUCGGUUUGGGUACAUCCACAAACGCCGGACGGACAGCACCUCCCCUAUCCACCCAAGGCUCCACACAAGUAUCAACAUGUAUAACAAUUUACGCAAUGAAAAUUCAGAUAUACAUAGCUUGCACGAGGGCAAGCAACAACCAAAAGUGAAAGUACUACUACUAUUAUCACCUCCACACAUGUAUCUUGAUUACAUUUAACCAAAUACAAGCAUACUAUAAUUUACAUCCUUUUUUUCCAAAACAUGUGUCAUUUACAUCAUUUAUACACUUCCAUCCCAUUACACUUUUCAUCAUAACCAAAGGAUGAAACAAGGUACCACUAAUACACGGAUGUCCGCUACCUAGGGCGCUAU